UACGUAGGGGGCAAGCGUUGUCCGGAUUUACUGGGCGUAAAGAGCGUGUAGGCGGUUAGGUAGGUCCGUUGUGAAAACUCGAGGCUCAACCUCGAGACGCCGAUGGAAACCAUCUAACUAGAGUCCGGAAGAGGAGAGUGGAAUUCCUGGUGUAGCGGUGAAAUGCGCAGAUAUCAGGAAGAACACCCGUGGCUAAGGCGGCUCUCUAGUACGGUACUGACGCUGAGACGCGAAAGCGUGGGGAGCGAACAGG
rnacentral:rRNA from 1 species